rnacentral:rRNA from 1 species
AGCGAACGCUGGCGGUAGGCUUAACACGCGCAAGUCGAACGCCCCGCAAGGGGAGUGGCAGACGGGUGAGUAACACGUGGGAACGUACCCUUUGGUUCGGAAUAACUUGGGGAAACUCAAGCUAAUACCGGAUAAGCCCUUAUGGGCAAAGGUUUACUGCCGAAGGAUCGGCCCGCGUCUGAUUAGCUAGUUGGUGAGGUAAUGGCUCACCAAGGCGACGAUCAGUAGCUGGUCUGAGAGGAUGAUCAGCCAAACUGGGACUGAGACACGGCCCAGAGUCAUACGGGCGGCAGCAGUGGGGAAUAUUGGACAAUGGGGGCAAACCUGAUCCAGCCAUGCCGCGUGAGUGAUGAAGGCCUUAGGGUUGUAAAGCUCUUUUACCCGGGACGAUAAUGACUGUACCGGGAGAAUAAGCCCCGGCUAACUUCGUGCCAGCCGCCGCGGUAA